GUCAGAUUAUAAAAACUUAUUGCAAUGCCUGCUGGAGUAUCAUGGCCCCGCUAUUUGAAAAUGUUUGGAGCAAGUAUUUUGUCCAUGUUUGCUGGAGCUGAAAUUGUACAUCGAUAUUACAGACCAGAUCUUAGUGUGCCUGAUAUUCCACCCAGACCCGGAGAUCUUAAAACUGAAUUACUUGGACUCAAAGAAAAAGAAAAAAAACAUGAAGCAAGCUGGUGAUUGAAAGAUAGUAGUCUACAAAUUGGAUUUUUUUUUUUCAUUAUUUAUGUAAACUUGUUUUUAAAAGUUAAAAUUUGUAACAAUGUUUAUGUUGGAGAAUUUUAAGAAAUACAUUUUGAUGAAAUAAAAUAUGAAAUAAAAUA